rnacentral:rRNA from 1 species
CUACCACAUCCAAGGAAGGCAGCAGGCGCGCAAAUUACCCACUCCCGGCACGGGGAGGUAGUGACGAAAAAUAACAAUACGGGACUCUUUUGAGACCCCGUAAUUGGAAUGAGUACACUCUAAAUCCUUUAACGAGGAUCUAUUGGAGGGCAAGUCUGGUGCCAGCAGCCGCGGUAAUUCCAGCUCCAAUAGCGUAUAUUAAAGUUGUUGCGGUUAAAAAGCUCGUAGUUGGAUCUCAGUUCCAGACGGGUGGUCCGCCUACCGGUGGUUACUGCCUGGCCUGAACAGCCAGCCGGUUACUCUAGAUGAUCUUCACCGGUUGUCUAAAAUGACCGGCACGUUUACUUUGAAAAAAUUAGAGUGCUCAAAGCAGGCGUGACGCCUGAAUAAUGGUGCAUGGAAUAAUGGAAUAGGACCUCGGUUCUAUUUUGUUGGUUUUCGGAACACGAGGUAAUGAUUAAGAGGGACAGACGGGGGCAUUCGUAUUGCGACGCUAGAGGUGAAAUUCUUGGACCGUCGCAAGACGAACUACUGCGAAAGCAUUUGCCAAGAAUGUUUCCGUUAAUCAAGAACGAAAGUUAGAGGUUCGAAGGCGAUCAGAUACCGCCCUAGUUCUAACCAUAAACGAUGCCAACCAGCGAUCCGCCUGAGUUCCUCAAAUGACUCGGCGGGCAGCUUCCGGGAAACCAAAGUGUUUGGGUUCCGGGGGAAGUAUGGUU